rnacentral:rRNA from 1 species
AGGGUUUGAUCAUGGCUCAGGACGAACGCUGGCGGUGCGCCUUAUGCAUGCAAGUCGAGCGAAGCUUUUCAGUAGUUUACUACAGAAAAUGACUGAGCGGCGAACGGGUGAGUAACGCGUGAGCAACCUACCUUAGUUACUGGGAUAGCCCGAGGAAACUCGGAUUAAUACCGGAUAUUCUUAUUUAAUCACAUGAUUUUUUAAGGAAAGGUCAGCCGAACUAAGAUGGGCUCGCGUUCUAUCAGCUAGUUGGUAGGGUAAUGGCCUACCAAGGCUACGACGGAUAGCUGGUCUGAGAGGACGAUCAGCCACACUGGGACUGAGACACGGCCCAGACUCCUACGGGAGGCUGCAGCAGGGAAUAUUGCGCAAUGAGCGAAAGCUUGACGCAGCGACACCGCGUGUGGGAUGACGGAUCUAGGUUUGUAAACCACUUUCAGGAGGGAAGAAAAUGACGGUACCUCCACAAGAAGCCCCGGCCAACUACGUGCCAGCAGCCGCGGUAAUACGUAGGGGGCGAGCGUUGUCCGGAUUUAUUGGGCGUAAAGAGCUCGUAGGCGGUUCAACAAGUCGGUCGUGAAAGUUCAGGGCUCAACCCUGAAAUGUCGAUCGAUACUGUUGUGACUAGGAUACGGUAGAGGUGAGUGGAAUUCCGAGUGUAGCGGUGAAAUGCGUAGAUAUUCGGAGGAACACCAAUUGCGAAGGCAGCUCACUGGGCCGCUAUCGACGCUGAGGAGCGAAAGCUAGGGGAGCAAACAGGAUUAGAUACCCUGGUAGUCCUAGCUGUAAACGAUGGAUACUAGACGUAGGAAUUGGAUUAACGAUUUCUGUGUCGUAGCUAACGCGUUAAGUAUCCCGCCUGGGGAGUACGGUCGCAAGACUAAAACUCAAAGGAAUUGACGGGACCCCGCACAAGCGGCGGAGCAUGCGGCUUAAUUCGAUGAUACCCGUAGAACCUUACCUGGACUU